rnacentral:tRNA from 1 species
UCCCCGAUAGCUCAGUCGGUAGAGCGCCGGACUGUUAAUCCGUAGGUCCCUGGUUCGAGCCAGGUCGGGAGCCA